UUUACUCCCAGAAAGUGCGGAGCAAACAAACAAAAAAGCGUCACUUAUUUUCCGGUUUGCCAUCAAAAGCAUAAGUAGUGAAUUACUCCCAACUUUCUACCCGCUUCUCCUGCAAGUCACCUUAUAUAUUUCUGACUAUUUCUGUUUAGAUCAGCCCACCGAGUCUUCCUCUGAAAAAGCUGGGUUAUGUAUUGCCCCUCAUAUACGCUUCUAUGCUAAUGUAUUUGGUGUUAAUCACAGCAAGAGUAUUCGACCAUUUCCGAAUCCUGUUCAAGUAUUUUAAUAAUCCUAUUGAAUUUCUUCGGCACCCCGCGACGGUGGUAUGCCAGCACCAAGAAAAAAGUGUUUUUAUACAUUACUGCUGAAAAACAAAUAGAAUUUGAUCUUUUUCGGAUGUCGGAGCAAAUCAGGAGGAGCCGGGAAGCAAAUCGGUAUAGAAUACAGGAAUCCUGUCUUGUUUGGCCGUGUGAGCAUGUAUAUUGCGCUAGAGUUGCUUUGAUUGUGCUAUCAGCAGGAGACUGCCACCAGAAUUGGUUUGCUACUUUUCAACUCGGAGGCGGACGUCACUAACCUUAUUCGAGGACAUUCGGUUUGCUAAAGAACGACAAUAAAGCUGGUUCAAUAUUAGGCGAUGUCUAAGCCGGAAACAUCCUGCUGACCGAACAGGAUGUAGACAGGUUAGCCGACAGCGAUAGUGCAGCUAUCAAAUGCCCUGCCAAUAGUUUUGUCGGAACACAACAUGGCAAGGUGGAUGUUUAGUCACUAGGAAUUACUUGUAUCGAGCUGGAGAAACGGAAUCAUUCCUACUUCAACAUGAUGGAAAUGUCGACGCUGUAUCACAUUGCGCAAAAUGAGGCGUCCACGUUGCAGGCUACGGACUGGAAAGAUGUGUUCAGCAGUUUUGUUUUUUGCUUGAGAAAACCUUCGGUAGAGUAAACAAACUCUAGUAAACUGUUAACUCAUUCAUUCAUAACUAGGAUACGAUUGCUAAUAUGCUAAUUGAUUUAAUAGCAAGAACAAUAGCUGCCGUUACAGAAUUGGACAAUCUGAACUGUAGGAAGAUGAACAAAAUUUAAAUGGCCAACUCCUGCGAAACGGAAGUAACGUCGGCGAGAACACACCGGACGAGCGAAUCGGUGGCGACAGUAGUACAAAUAACAGGAUCACCUUAGAACAUUCACUCCAUUCGGUGAAUCAGCUUGGUGGAAUUAUACGGAAUGCUUCGAGGCAUCAGCUGCCAGGAUCCGGGCUGCCGCCAAUGCACAACAGUAGUAUGAAUAACUCUAGUGAUCGGGGCAGUUUGAAACCUGGCGACGGUAUUGGUCGGAUGGAUUCCGGAAUUGGUGGAGGCAGCAGCGAAGGUAUAGACAGAUGGUGGAAGUUGUUCUGGACUCUUGCUCCGGAAACAUCAGUGUUCAUGCCACGGGUUACCAAAAUUUAUAGUCCCGUUGUACCUAAUCACCAUUCACAUCCAAUAAUGUAAAACUAAUA